rnacentral:lncRNA from 1 species
CCCAGCCCAAAACAGAGGGAAGUGGCCUCGGGUCCCGAGGACCGCCGCUCCACGUCCCCCGCCGCCCGCCCGAGGGGGGCAGGGUCAAAGGCCGCGGGCAGGCGAGCAGCGAGCAGAUUGGCUGGCGGACGAGCGCGCAGGCGCUGGGGUGGGCCCGGUGCCCGCCGCGGUCGCGGCCGCGGGGCCUUGAAUCCCUCAGCUACUCACCAGGUGCUGGGAAUCCGGCCACCGGCAGGCACUCAGCCGCCAGAGCCGUUGAAGUUGGGAGGAGAGACAGCGUCCCCGGCCUACCGGCUACGACGCCAACCAGCCCCGCCUUCCAGAAGGCGCGCGCAGAGCGUUCCGGGAGCCCUGAGGGGCGGGGCCGGGCCCGCUGAGGGGGCCGGGCCCGCUGAGGGGCGGGGCUCUGGUUUCCCGGCACCGGCCCUACGUGUCUGCGAGGGUCAGGAGGGGAGUGGAGGGGGAGAGUCUUCCGUUGCCUUCGUACGGAUGGAGAAAAGAGGCGGAGUGGCGUCGGGCUGGCCUACCCUUCCUCUUUCUGCAAGUGCUAAAAGCAGAACAAACUUGAGAAUGUGCAGGACCUAUAUGAAGAAAGCUAUAUUUUACUGAGGUACGUGAAAAAAGAGAUAAAGGGAGGUUCAUGCCUUGUUUUUAGGUGGGAAAUGUUAAUACUUAAAAACUUCAAUUUCUCCAGCUGAAUCGACAUAUUCAUUAUUUCUGCAAUCAAAAUUCCAGGGGUUCCAUUUCACAACUUGAUGAAAUAAUUCAAAACUACAGUUUAGAAAAUUAAACAGUAAGAAAAAUUCCAAAGGAAGAAGAAUGACUAGAAUUAUAGAGCUACAAUAAUUGAAAUGGUAUGAUUUUGGGAAAAGAUCAGUUAGAUCAAUGAAACUGAAUAGAGAAUCUAGAAAUGGAUUCCUACAUUCCUAUUGGCACAUGAAAAAUGUGGCAUUUCUAAUCACUAGGGAAAUAAUAUAGAUUACAAGAUAAAUGAUAGUAGGUCCAUUGAAUAACCAGUUUGGCGAGAAGAAAAUGCAGUUAAGGUCUGACCUCAAGCGAAAAACAUUAUAAGCUUAAAUAUUUAAAUAUAAUUUAAAUGUAAACCAAAAAUAACCCUCAUAAAUAUAUAGGAAAAAUUAGAAAAUGUUUCAAUAAUUCAGGUGAGGAGCUAUAUAAAAAGCUUUUACAAAUCAAUAAAAUGGUAUACCAAAGUUUUUUUUAAAGUGGA